GACGUAGGGCGCGAGCGUUGUCCGGAUUUAUUGGGCGUAAAGGGCUCGUAGGCGGUUUGUCGCGUCGGGAGUGAAAACCAUGGGCUUAACUCAUGGCUUGCUUCCGAUACGGGCAGACUAGAGGCAUGCAGGGGAGAACGGAAUUCCUGGUGUAGUGGUGAAAUGCGUAGAGAUCCGGAGGAACCCCCAGAGGCGAAGGCGGCGCCCUGGCUCGCAACUGACGCUCAGACACGACAGCAUGGG
rnacentral:rRNA from 1 species